rnacentral:rRNA from 1 species
CUACGGCCACACCACCCUGAACACGCCCCAUCUCCUCUGAUCUCGGAAGCUAAGCAGGGUCGGGCCUGGUUAGUACUUGGAUGGGAGAC